GACGAACGCUGACGGCGUGCCUAACACAUGCAAGUCGAACGGAGUUAAGCCCUUCGGGACUUAACGUUAGUGGCGAACGGGUGAGUAACGCGUGAGAAACCUGCCUUUCAGUGGGGGACAACAGUUGGAAACGACUGCUAAUACCGCAUAUAGUUAUUUGGGGGCAUCCCCGGGUAACCAAAGAUUUAUCGCUGAAAGAUGGUCUCGCGUCUGAUUAGCUAGUUGGUGAGGUAACGGCCCACCAAGGCGACGAUCAGUAGCCGGUCUGAGAGGAUGAACGGCCACAUUGGGACUGAGAUACGGCCCAGACUCCUACGGGAGGCAGCAGUGGGGAAUAUUGGGCAAUGGGGGAAACCCUGACCCAGCAACGCCGCGUGAAGGAAGAAGGCCCUCGGGUUGUAAACUUCUUUUACCAGGGACGAACAAAUGACGGUACCUGGAGAAAAGCAACGGCUAACUACGUG
rnacentral:rRNA from 1 species